rnacentral:misc_RNA from 1 species
UUUAAACCCAAACAAAAACCCUUGCUUGGUGGCAGAUUAAGUGAUCCGAAGACAGCAAGCCGAGAGAGCAGCUCUCGUAGAGAACAAACCCACCAGCAACUCCAAGCAGAAGCAGCACUGGUGAGAUUCAGCGACGUGAAACUAAAGAAAAAACAUAACAGAAAGGCACAAAUUUGAUUAAGAGAUUCCCAUCUAGACCCGAACGUAAAUCCCUCUCCCCAUUCCCACCUGGACCCGAACGUAUACCUCUUUCCCAAUUCCUCACCAGUAGCUGCACGGAUCAACUAGAGCUCUCAACGGUGGUUCCAAAGGAAGAACGCAAGUCUGUCGAUAUCCUUUGUAACAUAUAGUCAUGACCGUAGCGAGACCAGUCACCAAUAGCCUGUUGUGCACCUCAAAGACG